rnacentral:sRNA from 1 species
UGACAUGGCACAGAUAUGCCAUGCUUUGCGCAUUCAAUCAUUGAAGUAUCCAAACAAAAUUUCUUCUAUAGUUUGAAAGAUUUUACUUUAAUUUUAACGUCAACUGUAUUGGAAAUUUUCUCUUCCCUGCUGUCCUCACCUCUGUCUGCUCAAGAUGAUUGCCUUUUGCUUUUACACUUGACAACUUUAGAAAAUUUCCCACAACAAUUACCCCCAAAAGGAAUAUGGAAUUUGUAGUGGUGCGAUCUCGAUAGCUUGCUCUCCGACCGAAGUUUGUUUAUAUAUUUGUCUAACACAAACAACAGAGGAUGGUCGCUUUGGGUUUCAUUGGCUUGCCUUCCAAGCGGAAAAUGCCAGUAAGAGUGGGCGAGCGGGCGGGCGUGCGAGUGUGCUCGUACUCAUAUCAAUGAAUAAAUUAUAGUUGUUUGUUAAACAAGGAACAAGUGUUAAAAGUCACGCGCCCAAACCCAUUGGGCGUUGUUGGUGGAUGCUGUGGUUAAAGCUUUGCUUCCUUCCUGCCUUCCUUUUAUUCCGUUUUGACACUCUGGCUAAUAAAGUUAUACAAUCUGCCGCAGGGCUAUAGA